CUGAAUCACCACAGCCUUGCCCCUGGACGAUAGCUAGAGCCUUCGCCUUCUGCCCAGCAUUCCCUGACGCACGCCUGUCCCUAGCCACGCCUGAUGAUCUGAGAGGCAGGGUCUCCAAGACUUAGCCAGUAGGGAGAGCUGGGUGAAUGGAUCCAAUCUGAGAUAGUGCUCUUGCGUGGGUUCCAUGGUGACGGCCACACCCACCCCGCUGCGGCCAGAUGUCAUGCGGGUCACUUCACUCCAGGUGUCACUGUCUGGGUCAUAGCAUUCCACACUGUCCAGAAAAGUGUGGCCAUCAUAGCCUCCUGCAGGGAGAAUGAAGAGAAUGGUCACCCCCUUCCAGAGGGCUCAGCCCUCUGAAUGGCGGCAGAGAACAGAAGGGAAAAGAAGCCCCCUGUUUACGAUGGCUAGGUUGGGGGUGGAAUGUAGCUCAGUCUAGAGCUCCUGCCUAAAUUUCCCAGUGAAGGUGGGGUGCAGGGUGGAAAGUGUUGCAAGAAUGGGUAGGGAGCGGCUCUGUAGUAGAGCUUCGACCCAGAAUCCCCCAGUGGGGCGUGGCACAAUUAAAGAACACUUGCCAAGCAUUCGGGAAUCUCUGGCUUCUAUACUCAGCACCAAAACUUGGAGAAGAAAAGAUAUAGACACUCAAGCAUGGUUUUCACCCUGACCCAGCCUCCGAGGGCCUCACCGAGGACGUAGAUCCUGCCCUGGUGCACGGUAAUCCCCAGCGCACUGCGGCGAUGCUUCAUGGGGGCUACAAAAGUCCAGGUCUCUGUCUCCACGUCGUAGCGCUCCACGCUGUUCAGCUGGUCCUGCCCAUCGUAGCCCCCUGCUGCAUAGAUACAGUUGUGCAGCACGCAGACCCCUAAAGGAAAGCACACAGUGGGAGUCACCCCAAGCCUGAUCUGGGGCAGGGGGCGGGGCCACUGGACAAGGGACCUUAGUAGCCACUGCCCUUCCCUCCACCACUGGAGAAGCCGGAGUAGGAGGAUCAGGAGUUCAAAGUCAGCCUCGGCGACAUAAGGACUUCGAGGGCAGCCUCAGUCAUGUAAUGGAAGGGAGGAGGGUAAAGGAAACCCUUCCUCGCUGGGCUGCGGACGUCCUCACUCCACUCCCCACUCACCGGCCCCACUCCGGAUGGUAUUCAUCGGUGUGAUCAUCCGCCACUCAUUCCUCUCUGGAUAGUAACAUUCUGCUGAGUUAAGCCGGUUAGUCCCGUCAAAGCCCCCCACUGCAUACAGCAAGCGGUUGAGCACUGCCACGCCCACGCCAAUCCUCCGUGUCAACAUUGACGCGACUAGAUGCCACUCAUCCCGCUCUGGCUCAUACCUGCAAGAGACGUAACACCCCGUGCUCGCCUGUGGUCAUCCGUGGCCACUCCUUACACCACAGCCCUCCAGCUACUUUCACUAUUUUUAGGGUUUGCUUGUUUGUGUUUUUGGAGCUAGAACCCUGCUAUGUAGUUCAAGGUAGCCUCGAACUCUCCACGACCUCCUGCUUUAGUCUCCCCAGUGCUGGGAUGAAGGAUGCGCAGCACCAGGCCUGGCUCCAGCAGCGAGGAGCAGUAGAACCAAGGCUCAGAGUCAUCAGUUAUGACAGCGACAGCAAUCCCUCUAACCUAGGCGGCUUUAUCCCUCAGAGCUGCGGCACUGAAGAUGCACAUCCUAGCCGUUCAACCUCA